rnacentral:rRNA from 1 species
UACGUAGGUGGCAAGCGUUAAUCGGAAUUACUGGGCGUAAAGCGUGCGCAGGCGGUUUUGUAAGUCUGUCGUGAAAGCCCCGGGCUCAACCUGGGAAUUGCGAUGGAGACUGCAAGGCUUGAAUCUGGCAGAGGGGGGUAGAAUUCCGGGUGUAGUGGUGAAAUGCGUAGAGAUCCGGAGGAACCCCAGAGGCGAAGGCGGCCACCUGGGUCAGUUCUGACGCUCAGACACGACAGCAUGGGGAGCGAACGGG